rnacentral:rRNA from 1 species
GUCUAGUAUAAGCAUUAUACCGUGAAACUGCGAAUGGCUCAUUAAAUCAGUUAUCGUUUAUUUGAUUAUCCUUACUACUUGGAUAACCGUGGUAAUUCUAGAGCUAAUACAUGCUGAAAAUCCCGACUUCGGAAGGGAUGUGUUUAUUAGAUAAAAAACCAAUGCCCUUCGGGGCUUUUUGGUGAUUCAUGAUAACUUUACGGAUCGCAUAGCCUUGCGCUGGCGACGGUUCAUUCAAAUUUCUGCCCUAUCAACUUUCGAUGGUAAGGUAUUGGCUUACCAUGGUUUCAACGGGUAACGGGGAAUAAGGGUUCGAUUCCGGAGAGGGAGCCUGAGAAACGGCUACCACAUCCAAGGAAGGCAGCAGGCGCGCAAAUUACCCAAUCCCGACACGGGGAGGUAGUGACAAUAAAUACUGAUACAGGGCUCUUUUGGGUCUUGUAAUUGGAAUGAGUACAAUUUAAACCUCUUAACGAGGAACAAUUGGAGGGCAAGUCUGGUGCCAGCAGCCGCGGUAAUUCCAGCUCCAAUAGCGUAUAUUAAAGUUGUUGCAGUUAAAAAGCUCGUAGUUGAAACUUGGGUCUGGCUGGCGGGUCCGCCUCACCGCGUGCACUCGUCCGGCCGGGCCUUCCUUCUGAAGAACCUCAUGCCCUUCACUGGGCGUGUUGGGGAAUCAGGACUUUUACUUUGAAAAAAUUAGAGUGUUCAAAGCAGGCCUUUGCUCGAAUACGUUAGCAUGGAAUAAUAAAAUAGGACGUGCGUUCCUAUUUUGUUGGUUUCUAGGAACGCCGUAAUGAUUAACAGGAACAGUCGGGGGCGUCAGUAUUCAGUUGUCAGAGGUGAAAUUCUUGGAUUUACUGAAGACUAACUACUGCGAAGGCAUUCGCCAAGGAUGUUUUCAUUAAUCAGUGAACGAAAGUUAGGGGAUCGAAGACGAUCAGAUACCGUCGUAGUCUUAACCGUAAACUAUGCCGACUAGGGAUCGGGCGAUGUUCUUUUUCUGACUCGCUCGGCACCUUACGAGAAAUCAAAGUUUUUGGGUCUGGGGAU